rnacentral:rRNA from 1 species
CACGAAUUCACACGAGCUAACUAGAUUCACAUUUUAUGUAGCAAAAUAUAUAUUGAAGUGUAGUUAGGGGUGAAAGGCCGACAAGUACGAGGAUAUCUUGAUGUAAGUGAAAGAAAUUGAGUUUUAAAGGUAAUUAUAUAGCAAUAAGGUUAUAUAAGAGAUUGAAGAUUUAUUACUUUAUGUAGCAGGUGUAAAAGCCCGCAUGAUGUAAGACGAAUAUAUAUUUAAUAAGGCUUACUAAACUAACUUACAAAAGUCGAACUUUCAAUUUAAGUAUAAUGUUAAUAUGAGUACUCAAUAGGUAUUAAUAGUGAACUCGGCAAUAAAGCUUUCAACUGUUUAUCAAAAACAUAACCAUAUGUCACACAUAUGGCGUGUUCUGCUCAAUGACAUGUUAAAUAGCCGCAGUACCCUGACUGUGCAAAGGUAGCGUAAUCAUUUGACUCUUAAUUGGAGUCCUGCAUGAAAGAAUGUAUGGGGGCUUACUUUACCAUUAAUAUAUUCUGAAAUUGCUUAAAAGGUGCAAAAGCCUUUAGAUAAAUAAAAGACGAGAAGACCCUUGAAAUUUGUAUAGAAGUUUUGUUGGGGCAACAAAGUAGUAAAAACCUACUUCAUAGACACGAAAUGUAUUAGAAUGAGUAAAUUACUCUAGGGAUAACAGCAUAAUUCAUUGUGAGCUUGUGACCUCGAUGUUGGAUUAGGAUACUGCAGACCUAGAA